rnacentral:rRNA from 1 species
UACGUAGGGUGCGAGCGUUGUCCGGAAUUAUUGGGCGUAAAGGGCUCGUAGGCGGUUUGUCGCGUCGACCGUGAAAACUUGGGGCUCAACCCCAAGCCUGCGGUCGAUACGGGCAGGCUCGAGUUCGGUAGGGGAGACUGGAAUUCCUGGUGUAGCGGUGAAAUGCGCAGAUAUCAGGAGGAACACCGAUGGCGAAGGCAGGUCUCUGGGCCGAUACUGACGCUGAGGAGCGAAAGCGUGGGGAGCGAACAGG